rnacentral:rRNA from 1 species
UACGUAGGGGGCGAGCGUUGUCCGGAUUUAUUGGGCGUAAAGAGCGUGUAGGCGGCCAGGUAGGUCUGCUGUGAAAACUCGAGGCUCAACCUCGAGACGUCGGCGGAAACCAUCUGGCUAGAGUCCGGAAGAGGAGAGUGGAAUUCCUGGUGUAGCGGUGAAAUGCGCAGAUAUCAGGAAGAACACCCGUGGCGAAGGCGGCCCACUGGACCGGUACUGACGCUGAGGCGCGAAAGCGUGGGUAGCAAACAGG